AGCGCAGGCGGUUUUACAAGUCAGAUGUGAAAUCCCAGGGCUCAACCUUGGAACUGCCUUUGAAACUCCUGUUCUUGAGGUCGAGAGAGGUGAGUGGAAUUCCGAGUGUAGAGGUGAAAUUCGUAGAUAUUCGGAGGAACACCAGUGGCGAAGACGGCUCACUGGCUCGAUACUGACGCUGAGGUGCGAAAGCGUGGGGAGCAAACA
rnacentral:rRNA from 1 species